rnacentral:rRNA from 1 species
UACGUAGGGGGCAAGCGUUGUCCGGAAUCAUUGGGCGUAAAGAGCGUGUAGGCGGCUCGGUAAGUCCGCUGUGAAAGUCCAGGGCUCAACCCUGGAAUGCCGGUGGAAACUGUCGAGCUAGAGUCCGGAAGAGGCGAGUGGAAUUCCUGGUGUAGCGGUGAAAUGCGCAGAUAUCAGGAGGAACACCAAUGGCGAAGGCAGCUCGCUGGGACGGUACUGACGCUGAGACGCGAAAGCGUGGGGGCAAACAGG